CGGAGUUUGCCUCAUUCACUUCCAUUGGUGUCUGCCUAACUUUGUCAGCGAUGCUGAAAGUGACGUGACAAGACAUUGUCUUCAAUUAAGUGGUCCUUGACCAAGGAUGCAGAGGACAAGACGGGUGUGUAGUAUUGACUGAAAUUAUCAGAGAAGGUCAUUUUUUAUGGUUUAGGUCCAAACGAAGGGACCCUUCCAACCUCAGCAUCUCCAACACCUCCUGUCACACCUCCAGCCAAAUGUGCUACAUCUUCCUCAGUUAACCUUCUUGUAGGUGUGCAUGUCCAGCAUCCUUUGCACAUUAAUGUCUUGAGUUGUUCACACACGGUACGGUUGUUCAGAUUUGGGAAUCUGAAAUGUUUUUCAGAAUGUCUUUGAAAAUAUAAAUGGGUGUUAGCCCUCCUUUUUAUAUUGCAGUCUCACCAUAUCUCCCUUAUGCCUUUUCUGUGUGUAUUCCUGUUCUUGAUGUUGU